UUCCCAUCACUACCAACCACACACUUGAAUAAGAAACCACAGAACACAAAAAGAACGUGCAACUUCCGCCUGAAAACCCGCCUAUUUAAGAAUUCGAUCGGAGUUGUGACAACUCCGUUCACUCCAAUGGACCAGUUUUUUACAGCAAUGGCGGAUCGUGGAGCCGCUCAAUAGUUCCCGGAAGUUAGCGCUCAUACUAUCAGCGCCGUAGAGAUGCAGCAGAAGAGACCGCUGUGAUGAACUAUUAAAAGAACAAGAACCACCUGAAGACUG